rnacentral:rRNA from 1 species
GGCCUACGGGAGGCAGCAGUGAGGAAUAUUGGUCAAUGGGAGAGAUCCUGAACCAGCCAAGCCGCGUGAGGGAAGACGGCCCUAUGGGUUGUAAACCUCUUUUGUCUGAGAACACCCCCCGGGACGUGUCCCGGACUGCGUGUAUCCGAAGAAAAAGCAUCGGCUAACUCCGUGCCAGCAGCCGCGGUAAUACGGAGGAUGCGAGCGUUAUCCUGAUUUAUUGGGUUUAAAGGGUUCGUAUCCUGUCCGUUCAGUCAGCGGUAAA